ACGCUCGACACCUACGGGGGGCAGCAGUGGGGAAUAUUGCACAAUGGAGGAAACUCUGAUGCAGCGACGCCGCGUGAGGGAAGAAGGUCUUCGGAUUGUAAACCUCUGUUGUCAGGGACGAUGAUGACGGUACCUGACGAGGAAGCCACGGCUAACUACGUGCCGGCAGCCGCGGUAAUCUGAGCGGGCUGGCAAGGC
rnacentral:rRNA from 1 species